rnacentral:rRNA from 1 species
AUUGAACGCUGGCGGCAGGCCUAACACAUGCAAGUCGAGCGGAGCGGCUGACGGGUGAGUAAUGCCUAGGAAUCUGCCUGGUCGUGGGGGAUAACGUCCGGAAACGGGCGCUAAUACCGCAUACUAUCAGAUGAGCCUAGGUCGGAUUAGCUAGGGGGUGGGGUAAAGGCCUACCAAGGCGACGAUCCGUAACUGGUCUGAGAGGAUAAGCAGUCACACUGGAACUGAGAGACGGUCCAGAAUCCUACGGAAGGCAGGAGUGGGGAAUAUUGGACAAGGGGCGGAAGCCUGAUCCAGGCAUUCCACGUGUGUGAAGAAGGUCUUCGGAGUGUAGAGCACUUUAAGUUAGGAGGCGUUACCAACAGAAUAAGCACCGGCUAACUUCGUGCCAGCAGCCGCGGUAAUUC